rnacentral:misc_RNA from 1 species
GAAAGGAGAGAAGUAGUGUGAAUUGCAGAAUUCAGUGAAUCAUCGAAUCUUUGAACGCACAUUGCGCCCUUUGGUAUUCCUUAGGGCAUGCCUGUUCGAGCGUCAUUUAAACCUUCAAGCUCAGCUUGGUGUUGGGUGACUGUCCGCUUCACCGCGGACUCGCCUCAAAAUUAUUGGCGGCCGGUACAUUGGCUCUCGAGCGCAGCAGAAACGCGUAACUCGAGGUCCUCGUGCUGGCUCCCAGAAGCUAUCUUCACAAUUUUGACCUCGGAUCAGGUAGGGAUACCCGCUGAACUUAAGC